UGCUCGGUGGUCUAGGGGUAUGAUUCUCGCUCAGGGUGCGAGAGGCCCCGUGUUCAAUUCCAGGUCGAGCCCAA